CUUUUAUAGAAAUCUUUUGUUGUUUUGUUUGUUUGUUUACCAUAUCCAAAAAAACAAGAGGGCUUUUGUAAAGUGUAUGGAAAUAUCUCCUUUCUCCUGGCCAGUGUCCUAUGAUGCCUGACAAGAUAAAUGUCAGCAAGGCCACCUCCAGUAUUUGCAGGGCUUGGAGGCAAGAGUUAAAUGUAUGUUCACUCCCACUUUCUUCCCUCCUUCCGCUCUAUCCCUUAAUGCAAAAUACCCCAACCUUACAAGUGUGUGUUACUCAGCUUGAAUAUGCAAACACUAUCCAAAGGCAUACCACGUUUGUCCUGCGUAUAGCCACCUCUUGGCCAUCUCUUAGGUCUAAGGAUAGGCUACCCAGGAAGAGCCCCUUGCAGACCUGACAGUGGCUUGAGCCUUUGGUCGGGAUUCCAUGAUGCCAGGUGCCUGGGGUGUGAGGGAGAAGAGGAAGGUGGCAUGAGGAAGGUGGACUUGGUGCUUUGGAACUCUCCCCUCAGGGUGAGGCAUCACUAGACAAUAAUGACCAGAGCAGGGUAAUCCAUUAGUAGUUAUCAGAUCCAAGCUCAGGAGCUCAUCACAUUGAUGGUGAAAGAACCAGUUUUUAGAAGGAGAUGCUUCUUUACACUCUCUCUAGACAACCUGAGCCUGUGCAUCCUGUACACCCAGGGCAAUGCCCUGUCCCCUCUCACUAAGGCCUGGACUUUUAUCAAGAAGCCAAAGGGCUUCAGUUUUGGAAAUGCCAGUCCCCUUUUGCAGCAGCCCCAACUAAUGGAAAUUCGCUCUGGUGCUUUGUUCUUGCUGUGGUAAUGUCUGGGCUCCCUUCCAGAGCUCCUUCCAGAGCUGCAGGACAGACCUUUCUAUCCCUUUCUUUUUCUAAUAUUUCUUUUCCCUGGAAUUUGCUGGGUGGACACUAAAGUAACAUAAGCAGAAACUCCAGUACUAGGGAUCAGAGGAGAAUCUCAAGUGCAAUGGGAGGGAAAGGUCCAGGUACUGGUAACAGCAUCAACCUCAGUAAGGAAACCCUUCAAGAAAGCCUCUUCCCACUUCCUGCAGCAUCAACUUUAGGGCCCAUCUGCUCCUUCAAAAUAUACAGUUACAACUACAUUAGCAACUUUCUUUUCCAUUGCAUGUUUUGCAGAUUGCUACAAAAGAUUGGGGUGAAGUGUUAACUUACUGGGAAUUUAUUUAUUUAGAAAUAAUUUGGCAAAGAAAACAGUUGUGGAGUAUGAUUCAAUAACCAAACACACAAGAAAGAUGGAGCACAUGUGUUCAACAGAUCAACCAACGGCCCAGAAGAAUUGAUUGGUCUUCUUUAGGACAUUUGAGCCUCUUGCCUUCAUUAAUUCAAUAGACUUUCAGCCUUAAGGGGUAGUAGGUUUGAUUCAGGGCAGAGGAACUGCAGAAAAAUAAGGCUUGCACCUCAACUGAGAUACUGGGAGUUCCUGCAUAUGCUCUUUCAUUGAAAGGAUGAAGACUCCUUUUGGUCAUAUGGUUAUGCUGACAGAGAGUGUUAUCACAGAUUCUAUAAAUGUGGUAGUCAUGUUCUCUGGAUCUCAAAUUGGUACACGUUAUCUGGCUAAGAGAUACAUAGUUUUUUAACUUGUAAAAUUACUUACUCUUUAUAAGAUAUACACAAUCCCAUUUAGUUACACAGUAAUGUAAAUGACUCUAUUAGAGAAAAUUAAAGGAAAUAAAUAUUUUUAAAAUCAUAAGUGUCCUAAGAAAUCUGAAGUAGAUGGUCAAUAUAUGAGAUUCCAUGAUGUAUUUAGAUUAUAGAAUCAACCAUAAGAAUAUAUGCUAUUAUAUGUGUGUGUGUACACACACAUUUCUCUUUUAUGAACUAAGAUGAUGAUGAUGAUGAUGAUGAUGAUGAUGACGACGAUUUUUCACUGUGCUGGGGACUGAACUCAGGGCUUUGUACAUGCUAAGUAAGCGCUCCACCACUGAACCACAUCCUCAGCCCUGCCACAGUUUUUAAAGGAAGAUUUACCACUCAAUUUGCAUCAGUGAAUGAAGCUUCAAGGUUUGUUGUGGUUGUUGUUUUGUUUUGUUUUAUUUCUCCUCCAAUGUGGUAGUAUUUUCACCCCGACACAUCAUAUGCAUCGGAGUCAUGGGACUCUCACUGAUGACCCACCGAAUCUAAAAUUCAAAUCUCUCAUUUCCUAUGUUAUUUGGAAUUAUUACCUCAGUUGCUUUGUCUAGUUCUGGUUUAUUUUAAGGUAAAUAGGUGAGCAUAAAUGCAUACCACCUUUUCAGGAGGGGCAGAGUGUUUGCUAUGAAAUUCCCUCCCUCUGGUCCUGUAUUUGGGUCAGAGUUUGGUUGCAGUUGGACAGAUCAGGGUAGUUGAACCUGGUAUUAAAAUCUUGGCAGAGCAGAUCUGUGGGCCUCUACACUCUAUCUUUCCCUGCUUCACUCUAUCCAGAGUAAAACUCUAUCCAGAGUAAAACUUUAUCCAGAGUAAAACUCAUAAGUUUGUAAAACUUUCGUCCCCCAGUCCCAUGUUUUAGUCAGCUUUAUUGUUGCUGUGACCAAAAUACCCAACAAGAACAAGUUUAUAGGAGGAAAAGUGUAUUUGGUGCUCCGGGUUUCAGAAGUCCAGACCAUAUUGGUUGACACCGUUGCUUUAGCUCUAGGAGCAAUGGGCCACGCAGAUGCCCACACAGCUUCUGUAUGGAGGAUGAAAGCAGCUCAGGACAUGGCAAUCAGGAAACAGAGAGAGAGAGAGAGAGCUGUGCUCACUCCAGAUACCAUAUAAAACCCAAAAGCACAUCCCCAGUCACCUAUGGAGAUAGGUCACACCCUACCAGCCACACAAGCUUCCUACACUUACCAACCAGUUUAAUCCAUAUCAGUGGAUUAGUCUACCAAUUAGGUUACAGUUCUCAUAAUCUAAUCAUUUUACCUCUGAAAAUUCUUGCAUUGUCACACACAUGAGUUCCAGGGGAGCUCCACACAGUCAAACCAUUACACCCCACGAGAAAUUUUUGUUAUCCUUGCUCUUUAGAUGACUAUUAACUCACUUCCUUAAGCCUUUUAGUGUUUACUUCACUAAGGGAAAGUGCUGAGUCUGAAAAUAUGGAAACUUUCCAUUUCUACUAUACUUUUUCCUAAACCCAUUACAGAAUGCUUAAGCAAAGUUUCUCUAAAACAUUUUUUUUUUUUCAUGGAGAGAGAGACCCACACCGGGCUUUUAUGUCUUAUCCAGCUGAAUUCUGGUAAAUGCUUAGCAAGUACUUGUUGCUGAUUUCUGUGGUGUAAAUGCUGCCACCAUGACUUAUUUUGUAACCAAUGUAUCAGCACCAAGAGCAGAGUUUGGAAGAGAUGGACAUAAUUGGUUCUCUUAAGCCAGAUUUCUACCCAAUACUGAGUCUACACCUCUAGACCACUGGUUCCCAGAUUUUUGGUGUGAAUCACUAGUACUGCUAUUAAAAGGUUUAUUCAAAAUCUCUAUGACUGAGGCCAGAGCAUCUGAAUUCCUGUGUGGUCCUGAUACUGUACUUUGAGCUUCACGUCCUAUGUUUAUUCCUAUAUGAGGCUUGUCCUGUAUAUGUAGUAUUGCCGUUUCAGAUCAAGAACUCUAAAUGUUUUCUAACACCAUCAAAUCUACUGAGCUAUCAUUAAAAUAGACUAAAUUUACUAAGAUGUAAUUAAAAUAGGAUCUAAUGUUCAAGAUGAAUAAUGAUCAUCAUACUCACUUUUAUAUAAUAGUCUAUAUUCAGCUCAUUACUUUUCAUUAUACUGAAUGUAAAAUGUGCAACGGAAAGCCAAAUUCCAUAUAUUUUAGAAAUUAGAUGAAAUCUUUAUGAAGCACAUAGCUCAUCUUAAAGUAGCGAGAGUAUUUGCAUCAUAUGUUUUCUUUAUAAAAAUAUGAUACGCAUGACAGCUUUCUUUGUUUCACCAUCAGUUUUCUUCCAAUAGGAUUGUGCCAAGUGUGCCGUGAAUAUAAUGAUUUGUUUAUGAUGAAAAAAAAAAAAAGAGUCAAGUAAAUGUACCAACUUCCUCUGAAAAUGUUUGGGUUAUUUCAAAAAAUGUUUUGUGCCAUUGGUUUGAUCCUCUGCAGUGAAUGAGUAUCAUUGGAGAUGAUUUCACUGCCUUCAAGCUAAUAUUUUUCUGAAGUCUACAUUUUCUCCUCAGAUAUCUACCAGGACAUAUUCCCUACUCAUAGGUGCUUACAAUUGAACUGGGGUUUUAAGAAUUCCUUCUAUCAACAAUUAGAAAAGGAUAUAAGAGGAAUUCGAAACUGUGGCUGGUAUUGAUUUUUGCAUGUAUUUUCUAGAUUGUUUGAUGGUAGAGACAGAGGAGUAAAUAAUCACCACAGAGUGUGACAAAUGCUAGGAGACAGGGACUAAGGUUUCCCUGAUGACUCAGGACAGUUUCACAAAGGAGGAGAGCUGAGACUUAGGGAUAAUCAGAAGCUGAAAGGCAGAGGAGGAGGGGCCUUCCAGACAGGAAUGAAACUUAGGCAGCCUGCUCAAGAAUAGAGAAUUUCAAACUGUUCAUCUGAUUAAGUGUUAUCCAACUCUGUGCCCAGAACUGUGUUUGGCCCUUGGGAAGGAGCAUGAGUGGCACAGCCCCUGCCUGCAAACUAUUUAUGGGCCAUUUAGGUGCCUACAACUAGCAAAUAAUAGAGAAAGAAAGGGGGAACUAUCACAACCAAAUGCCACCGAGCUUACAGAUAUCGGGUGAUGUGGGGUAUUGUGAAAGGUACAACAGAUGAGGCUGAAGCACUUAUGAAAGUCCUGGUUCAAGGUACUCAGCAGCCAAGCAAGCAGCUUUUAAACAGAGGUAGGACAGAACAUGUUGCAUGGAAACAGGAAGAAAAUCUGUGACCAGAAUAGAGAAUGCUGGUGAUCCUGGGGAGGGCGCUGUGGGAGGCCAGUUCAGAGUCCUCAUUCCCUUUGGGGAACAUGGAAAAAAACAAAAAAACAAAAAAGAUCCUUUUGAACUUUUAGGUUUUUUUUUAACCAUGGAAUGGAGAAAGUACUACUUAACUCAGAUACUUGAGAGGACAAGUGAGGCAACUCAUGUGGAAGUGGAAUGUAAACUACAGUGUGCUACAAACGACAUGGGUCAUUGUUAAUAAAUGCGAUUGUGGAAUGCUGGAUUGCUUCGAAGAAGCCACUGCUCCAUGCCUGUGUGUUUAGGACCUCGUGGGUGGUAUUUUUUUCAGCCUGAGGAUAUAUGUUGUACCGAAUUUAGAUUUUCCCACUCAGAUGAACAACCUUGGAACCAAACAUGUCAGAUUAAAUAAACCUAUAUAUAUGUAAAAAGAAAAGUUUGAUCUGAUUUCCAGUUUAUUGUAUUUAUUUUUCCACAUUUUAAUUGAUGCAUUGUAGCUGUACAUAAUGAUGGGAUUUGCUAUUACAUAUUUACAUAUGCACACAAUAUAGUUAUAUAAAUUGGCUAUAAAUUGGCUAAUGUCUUUCCCAGUACAGUUUAUUUAAGUGACAAAUUCUCAGCAACUUUAAAUAAAUAAUUGUUAAUGCUGUA